rnacentral:rRNA from 1 species
AAACUUAAAGGAAUUGACGGGGGCCCGCACAAGCGGCGGAGCAUGCGGAUUAAUUCGAUGCAACGCGAAGAACCUUACCAAGGCUUGACAUAUACGAGAACGCUCUAGAAAUAGAGAACUCUUUGGACACUCGUAUACAGGUGGUGCAUGGUUGUCGUCAGCUCGUGUCGUGAGAUGUUGGGUUAAGUCCCGCAACGAGCGCAACCCUCGUUCUAUGUUGCCAGCGGUUCGGCCGGGAACUCAUAGGAGACUGCCGGGGUCAACUCGGAGGAAGGUGGGGAUGACGUCAAAUCAUCAUGCCCCUUAUGUCUUGGGCUUCACGCAUGCUACAAUGGCCGGUACAAAGGGCUGCAAUACCGUAAGGUGGAGCGAAUCCCAAAAGCCGGUCUCAGUUCGGAUUGAGGUCUGCAACUCGACCUCAUGAAGUCGGAGUCGCUAGUAAUCGCAGAUCAGCAACGCUGCGGUGAAUACGUUCCCGGGCCUGUACACACCGCCCGUCAAGUCA